GGACUAGUUGGCAGAAGGUGACCUCCCACCCUUGUGUAUUAUUACUUUGUUGCUUUGGCGAGCUGCCUUCGGGCCUUGUAUGCUCGCCAGAGAAAACCAAAACUCUUUUUAUUAAUGUCGUCUGAGUACUAUAUAAUAGUUAAAACUUUCAACAACGGAUCUCUUGGUUCUGGCAUCGAUGAAGAACGCAGCGAAAUGCGAUAAGUAAUGUGAAUUGCAGAAUUCAGUGAAUCAUCGAAUCUUUGAACGCACAUUGCGCCCCUUGGUAUUCCGGGGGGCAUGCCUGUUCGAGCGUCAUUUCAACCCUCAAGCUUAGCUUGGUAUUGAGUCUAUGUCAGUAAUGGCAGGCUCUAAAAUCAGUGGCGGCGCCGCUGGGUCCUGAACGUAGUAAUAUCUCUCGUUACAGGUUCUCGGUGUGCUUCUGCCAAAACCCAAAUUUUUCUAUGGUUGACCUCGGAUCAGGUAGGGAUACCCGCUGAACUUAAGCAUAUCAAUAAGCGGAGGAAGA
rnacentral:sRNA from 1 species